rnacentral:rRNA from 1 species
GAGUAACGCAUCGGAACGUACCGAGUAGUGGGGGAUAACUGUCCGAAAGGAUGGCUAAUACCGCAUACGCUUUGAGAAGGAAAGCGGGGGAUCUUCGGACCUCGCGCUAUUCGAGCGGCCGAUGUCUGAUUAGCUAGUUGGUGGGGUAAAGGCCUACCAAGGCGACGAUCAGUAGCGGGUCUGAGAGGAUGAUCCGCCACACUGGGACUGAGACACGGCCCAGACUCCUACGGGAGGCAGCAGUGGGGAAUUUUGGACAAUGGGCGCAAGCCUGAUCCAGCCAUGCCGCGUGUCUGAAGAAGGCCUUCGGGUUGUAAAGGACUUUUGUCAGGGAAGAAAAGCUUGAGGCUAAUACCCUUGAGUGAUGACGGUACCUGAAGAAUAAGCACCGGCUAACUACGUGCCAGCAGCCGCGGUAAUACGUAGGGUGCGAGCGUUAAUCGGAAUUACUGGGCGUAAAGCGGGCGCAGACGGUUACUUAAGU